GAGCGCAUUCAUCCAGCGGUCGGGAUGCCUUCUCCUCCAGAAGGAAAGGGAGGUCCGAUUCCUCCAUACGCUUU
rnacentral:tRNA from 1 species